CCAACACUCUAACCACUAGGCUACCUGCCACCCCCCCUCUAACCACAAGGCUACCUGCCGCUCCCCCUCUAACCACAAGACUACCUGCCUGCCGCCCCUACAGUCAUAUGCCCCUACAGUCCAUGUAGGCUUAUUACAUGUUGUUUAUCUGAUAUACUAAAUGCCUGUGGAGAUUUUAGUGAAACGCUACCAUGUUCACCAAGAAUAACACCCCACUGAAGGUUUAGAAGCCCUGAGGACUGAAGGUUUAGAAGCCCCAAAGGUUUAGAAGCCCCAAAGGUUUGGAAGUCCUGAGGUCUGAAGGUUUAGAAGCCCCGAAGGUUUAGAAGCCCUGAGGUCUGAAGGUUUAGAAGCCCUGAGGUCUGAAGGUUUAGAAGCCCUGAAGGUUUAGAAGUCCUGAGGUCUGAAGGUUUAGUUGCCCUGAGGGUUUAGAAGCCCCGAAGGUUUAGGAGCCCUGAGGGUUUAGAAGCCCCGAAGGUUUGGAAGUCCUGAGGUCUGAAGGUUUAGAAGCCCCAAAGGUUUAGAAGCCCUGAGGUCUGAAGGUUUAGAAGCCCUGAAGGUUUAGAAGCCCCGAGAUCUGAAUACACAUUUUUCAUUAACAAUAAACUGAAGUACUCUUGACUGAAAGAGCUGUGUUCUGUGUGUGUGUGUGUGUGUGUGUGUGUGUGUGUGUGUGUGUGUGUAUACACACCAGCCCUUACUAUGCCAGUCCUCAUUACCCACAGGGCUCAAUUAACACUUAAGCCUGCUAACAGCCUGCGGAGCUGUAAAAUAACAAUGGAAAACAGCUAUAAAUUCACCUCCUAAUUGUCUUGCCUUCUACUUGACUCCAUUCGCUUCAUUGGACUCCUGUCUAAAUGUAAGAUUCUGUGCCUUGUGGCAGAAAAACAUCAAGCCAUUGUCCCAAUAAUCUCUCCUUCCUCCUCAUGUGUUCACUCGUUCACUAUUCCCAAGUUUUAAAGCAUUAGAUUGGUGUAAGGCACGCGCUAGAGGGAGUUUCCAUAAACCGGUCAAUUCUUCUAAAUUCCAUGGAGGGAAGUGAGUGCACUCUUCAGGAGAAACAAGACUGGGAUGUAACCCAAAGCUACUUUGCCCCUAAGGGCUACCGUACAAACCACCCAUCCAUCCCACAAUCCCCCAGGAACCAGCAACGACACCAGGAGAAAACAGUCUGACCAGUCUUUAAUUGUCAUCAUAUUUGAAUUAUAUAACAGUACAUAAAACACAAACAAUAGCAUUUUCUUCCAGUAGUUUACUUAAAGCUCCACAGCACCCUACACGUAAAAAAAAACAGUGUUAUAUUUAAUAAGGACGGGAGUCUGCUUGGAUCGGGGAGGCCAUCAGUAAAAUCAACUGAAGAUCAGGGCCUAUAUUCACAAUGUGUCUCGGAGUAGAAGUGCUGAUCUAGGAUCAGUUUUGCCUUUCAGAUCAUAAUGGAUACUACUAUAUGGACGGGGCCCAGACACCUUCCGGGCGACGAUUAUAUCAAUAGCGUUUCUAUUUAAAGCAGGCUUGUUAAAAUGUUAGAUGAAUAAGGUUAUACUCCCCUGGUUGGCAAUAGACUAUACACAAAUAUCUGUCGGAAGGGAACAUUGAAUUAUGAGUCUUGUGAGGGGCCAACACUAUGCUGUUCUGGAGUUUU